CUUCCACUGUGGUGUUGUGAUAUGUGAUGCAAAGAGGCAGUCGGACAGCCUCUGUAGGAGGCAGUGCAUUCCAGGGAAGCAGAGGCUUGGUCGCAGUGCUGAGGUAGCAGUAAAGGCACUUGUGUCUUCAGGACCAAUCCAUUUGCAGCAAUAUGGAUCCUAUCCCUCUGAAGUCAAAACUACCCAAGCUGUUCUGUGGUCUCCUCUGGUAGCUACCCUUGUGUGUGCAGUGGUCCUAUUUAUCUCUGGAAUUGUAGCUUUUAUCCACAUACAAAAGCAUUUAUGAAAAUAAAAACCUAGUAACU